rnacentral:misc_RNA from 1 species
GAUGAAGAACGUAGCGAAAUGCGAUAAGUAAUGUGAAUUGCAGAAUUCAGUGAAUCAUCGAAUCUUUGAACGCACAUUGCGCCCGCCAGCAUUCUGGCGGGCAUGCCUGUCCGAGCGUCAUUUCAACCCUCAAGCUCUGCUUGGUGUUGGGGCCCUACGUCUGACGUAGGCCCUCAAAGACAGUGGCGGACCCUCUCGGAGCCUCCUUUGCGUACUAACUAACGUCUCGCACUGGGAUUCGGAGGGACUCUUGCCGUAAAACCCCCAAUUUUUACAGGUUGACCUCGGAUCAGGUAGGAAUACCCGCUGAACUUAAGCAUAUCAAUAAGCGGAGGA